GUGUUCACUUCAGCAGCACGUAGACGAAAAUUAGAAUGAAACACUGAAGAUUAGCAUGGUCCCUGCAUGAAGAUAACACACAUAUCUCAUAAAGAACUCAUUGUGUGU
ensembl:snRNA U6 U6 spliceosomal RNA